CCGCUGCUGAUAUGUCCAAAGUACUGCAAGUUGAACUAGAGGCAGAACAGGAAAAAGUUGAAAAGUUUGGUCGGGAAAAAGGGAAUGAUUUUGGAUUGUUUACAAAGGAAUUCCUUAAGCGCCAUGGAGUUCACCUACUUGGAACGACAAGUACAUGGUUCUUACUGGAUCGCUUCGACGGUUCCUGAAGCUGACUAUGUGUGGCGUAUAAUUCUUAUGUUCGGUGCACUUCCAGCCGCUCUCACUUACUAUUGGCGUAUGAAGAUGCCUGAAACAGCCCGUUACACAGCCUUAGUUGCCAAGAAUGCCAAACAGGCAGCUGCUGAUAUGUCCAAAGUACUGCAAGUUGAACUAGAGGCAGAACAGGAAAAAGUUGAAAAGUUUGGUCGGGAAAAAGGGAAUGAUUUUGGAUUGUUUACAAAGGAAUUCCUUAAGCGCCAUGGAGUUCACCUACUUGGAACGACAAGUACAUGGUUCUUACUGGAUAUUGCCUUUUACAGCCAAAAUCUUUUCCAGAAGGAUAUUUUUAGUGCAAUUGGAUGGAUCCCUCCAGCUCAAACCAUGAAUGCAUUGGACGAAGUUUACAAAAUUGCAAGGG
rnacentral:lncRNA from 1 species